rnacentral:rRNA from 1 species
AUUGAACGCUGGCGGCAUGCCUUACACAUGCAAGUCGAACGGCAGCACGGGUGCUUGCACCUGGUGGCGAGUGGCGAACGGGUGAGUAAUACAUCGGAACGUACCUUAUCGUGGGGGAUAACGCAGCGAAAGCUGUGCUAAUACCCCAUACGCCCGGAGGGGGAACGCGGGGGAUCGAAAGACCUCGCGCGAUUAGAGUGGCCGAUGCCUGAUUAGCUUGUGGGUGGGGUAAAAGCCCACCAAGGCGACGAUCAGUAGCUGGUCUGAGAGGAGGAUCAGCCACACUGGGACUGAGACACGGCCCAGACUCCUACGGGAGGCAGCAGUGGGGAAUUUUGGACAAUGGGGGCAACCCUGAUCCAGCAAUGCCGCGUGAGUGAAGAAGGCCUUCGGGUUGUAAAGCUCUUUUGUCAGGGAAGAAACACCGGCUCUAACACAGUCCGGGAAUGACGGUACCUGAAGAAUAAGCACCGGCUAACUACGUGCCAGCCGCCGCCGUAA